rnacentral:rRNA from 1 species
UACGUAGGGUGCGAGCGUUAAUCGGAAUUACUGGGCGUAAAGUGUGCGCAGGUGGCCGCGCAAGUCGAGUGUGAAAUCCCCGAGCUUAACUUGGGAAUUGCGCUCGAAACUGGUAGGCUCGAGUACGGGAGAGGGGGGUGGAAUUCCUGGUGUAGGGGUGAAAUUCGUUGAUAUCAGGAGGAACACCGGCGGCGAAGGCGGCCCCCUGGCCCGCAACUGACGCUCAUGGUCGAAAGCGUGGGGAGCAAACAGG